ACUCCUACGGGAGGCAGCAGUGGGGAAUAUUGGACAAUGGGCGAAAGCCUGAUCCAGCAAUGCCGCGUGAGUGAUGAAGGCCCUCGGGUCGUAAAGCUCUUUUACCAGGGAUGAUAAUGACAGUACCUGGAGAAUAAGCUCCGGCUAACUCCGUGCCAGCAGCCGCGGUAAUACGGAGGAGCUAGCGUUGUUCGGAAUUACUGGGCGUAAAGCGCACGUAGGCGGCUACUCAAGUCAGAGGUGAAAGCCCGGGGCUCAACCCCGGAACUGCCUUUGAAACUAGGUAGCUAGAAUCUUGGAGAGGCGAGUGGAAUUCCGAGUGUAGAGGUGAAAUUCGUAGAUAUUCGGAAGAACACCAGUGGCGAAGGCGACUCGCUGGACAAGUAUUGACGCUGAGGUGCGAAAGGCU
rnacentral:rRNA from 1 species